CAAGUUGUUAUGACAGACUAAUCUGUAGCAAGGCCCAAGGAUAAUGCAAGGCUGAAGCGUUAUAUGUUUAACACUGAUAAUGUGCAAUUGCGAACAGUAGUUGUUACAGAUCCCCAAGCUGUGAGAUACGGAAGUUUCUUUUUUGUGUAUUUACUGAUAAAUACUUGCCAGAGUGUUUUAUUGGGCUGUCUCCCCAUACUGCCCUGAAGCCUAAGUCGUGAUGACUGACUGACUGACUAACGUGUAGCAAAGCCCAAGGUCUAAGACAGGCUGGAAGGAUGUGUGUUUUAACGUUGAUGAUGUGCAAUUGCCAACAGAAGAAAUUGCUAACAGUACAAAUUAGAGAUCCCCCAGUGUGUUCACUUAAAUUAUGAAUAAUUUAAAAGUACAUAAAACAUGAAUCAUACAACUUGCUGAAAUACUAAGAAGAACUUCCAGAAUUUCUGUAGAAUGGGU